UGGCGCGCGUGCCUGCUGGCGGCCCCGCGGCGGAGCGGGCGUGCCCGGCGGGGCGUCCGUGGCCGCGCCGGGAGCCCGUGGCGGGCUUGGAACCGCGCGCGGUCGCCGAGUGCAGCCGCCCUCGGGCCCGCAGCCCCGACCGCGCCCCGGGGAAGUAGGUCCACGCAGAGGCUUGCAGCAGCCGCGCCGCUAGCAGCGCCUAGAGGCUGGCAGUGCCCGGGGCCGGCGGGCCUCUGGCCUGGGUUCGCCCGCGCCCUCGCGCGCCUCUGCCACGCAGAGCUGGCAUCCGCUCCCCCCAGCCCACCUCCCGCCCCAGGACCCCGCGCAGGCCCCUGGCGCUGGGGCGCUGCAGGAAGGGCGUGGCGCCAGCUUCCCCAAGGCCGGCACGGCCGCGGCGCACGACUCCCCCGUAGCCCGCCCGGGACCUAAGUAGGGCGUUUCCCUGAGGAAGUAGCUGCUGGAAUCCUGGCAGCCACGUGCCAGCGGUCACACCUUGGGCCUCAGCUCCUUUAUCUCCAAAAUGAGGCUCAUAACCCGCCUCCUAGGAGCGUUCGGAAAACUCAGACCUAUGCACAGUAAGCACGCAGGUCAACCUGGCACUUGGAAGGACCACACAAAACCUGGGUAACCACUAUUUCAACUUCUGUCACCAAAGACUCGCUCUCCUGUUUGUGGCUGUCAUGUUCCUGGGUUUAUGGUCCCUCCAGUCCAGUCACGCCCGCUUCUUGCCGUUCCUGGAACUGUCACCUCCCACCCAGGGCCUUCGCACCUGCUGCUCUGCCCCCCAGUGGUUUUAAGAGAGAACAUUGUUCCUGGAAGUAACCAAGUGCCCGGAGUGCCUCGGGAGCCGGGAGCGCCCAGCUCUCUCCCCUCGGAGGCUCGGCUUGUGCGGACCUCACUGGGGCCUGUCUCACGGAGAUGCCCGAGGACGAGGACGAGGACGUUAACUUCUAAAGAAGCCGCAGGAGUCAGAGAGGUGGAGCCUCCGGACCACCUGGGUUUGAACCUCAGCCAGAUUUGGCAAUCAGCUGCAAAGCCACGGUGUGUGUUGAUCAGAGAGGUGAGGUCUUAUUGGUCUGCUUCUUGCAUGGUGGGAAGUACCACUAGACACAACUGUCCUGGGUUAUACCUUACA